UUUGCAUAGAGAGUGUGUUUUACAUGAGCGACACACACUUCAGUGCUCUGCAUGUGUUUAUAACUCUGACAAACAUCAAACAUGAUCAACAACUGUUUCUCACUAGAACUGAACCUACAACCAACAGAAAUGACUUUCAUCACCAUAUUGAUCUGGACGCUGACAGUAUUAUGUAGAGAAUCUAUUGGGCAGGUGACAGUGACUCAAACUCCCUCAGUGCUGCUCGCUCAAACUGGACAAUCAGUCACCGUUACCUGUACAUUUAGCAGUGAUUCCUGCUGUACUAGUAAUGGAAAUCCUGCUGUGAGUUGGUACUUACAGAAACCUGGAGAAGCUCCUAAACUCCUGAUUUAUUAUACAAGCAGCCGUCAGUCAGGAACUCCAUCUAGAUUCAGUGGCAGUAAAUCAUCUGAGAGAGAUUUCGCUCUGACCAUCAGUGGAGUCCAGACUGAAGAUGCUGGACAUUAUUACUGUAUGAAUGUACACAGUGAUGAUGUGUUUACACAGUGAUAAAGAGUCGUACAA